GAGCUUCGCUGCGGGCUACUCCUCCUCCCAAGCCCAAGGCGGAUAAAGUGCCUGCGCAUCCUCCUCCCAGCGCAGGUACCUCUCAGUCGCCCGUCGGGUCCUCCCCCCGACGGGCGAUCAGA
rnacentral:sRNA from 1 species